rnacentral:rRNA from 1 species
AACGAACGCUGGCGGCAUGCCUAACACAUGCAAGUCGAACGAGACCUUCGGGUCUAGUGGCGCACGGGUGCGUAACGCGUGGUAACCUGCCCUUAGGUUCGGAAUAACUCCCCGAAAGGGGUGCUAAUACCGGAUAAUGUCUUCGGACCAAAGAUUUAUCGCCUUUGGAUGGGCCCGCGUUGGAUUAGCUAGUUGGUAGGGUAAAAGCCUACCAAGGCGACGAUCCAUAGCUGGUCUGAGAGGAUGAUCAGCCACACUGGGACUGAGACACGGCCCAGAAUCCUACGGGAGGCAGCAGUGGGGAAUAUUGGACAAGGGGCGAAAGCCUGAUCCAGCAAUGCCGCGUGAGUGAUGAAGGCCUUAGGGUUGUAAAGCUCUUUUACCCGGGAUGAUAAUGACAGUACCGGGAGAAUAAGCUCCGGCUAACUCCGUG